rnacentral:snoRNA from 1 species
AUUUAAUAUUUAUAUGAAUUAUAUAUAAAUUUGAAGCCCUUUCUGGCCAUUUAAAAGAAACUCCACCAGGUUCCUUUUUCCCAUCAAGCUCCAGAGGUGCUGUGAUAGAUAAAAGGACAGCUGACACUAAGCGAUGUCCAGGUUCCGUGUUUCCUGAAAACACGGAAAAUACCCCGAGGUUGGCAUCUAACAGCUUAGUGGCCUGGCAUUUUGGAUGCUAGGAGUGCUGGUGUCUGUGGCUGUGAUCAGACAGUUCUGGCUGAGACC